GGAGGGGCUUACAUGAAUCGUAUCAGGAGUGUGUGAGGUCAGUUUGGGCUACCACGCUGACUUCCAGGACAGGUCAUCGGCCCUGCUAAGAAGUCAGCCCCACACUGCUGCCACUGUCCUUCCUGUACCUGUCACACCCUUGUCUGGUUGUGGCACACCCAACCAGAGAAGACUGUUCAGCCAGCAACUGCCCCAGGUGCUCAGGAUCCCAGUGCUGUCCCGAACCUUUCUCAGGACGAGCUUUUAAGCACAGAAACCAUACCCUGGGUUGACAUACUUGGGUUAGCAAGGGCAGCUGGCCAGACGCAGAACUACAGAAGCCUAAAAGCAAGACCGCUCAGAUGUGCUGUGAAUCUGUCACCUCCUGAUCACCAUCGGGGAGCUGUGAGCCAAAUGUUUGCUUCGUCCUGGAAUUCCUUCAAGCCGUUGAGAGGAAAAGGCUGGGAGGGAUGCUCAAAAGAGGUUACUUCCUUUCUGCAUCGGCUGUGCCUCUUUAUUAUGUGAUUACAUAGUGGAAGGGGGAAAAACACAUCCUUCAAUUAUCUUUAAAGGGACACUGGGGACAUCAAUCCUGUUCCUAAAGAUGGAGCCCCAGAGGACUACCCAUCGGACAAUGAGACAUAAAUCUCCAUUCUGUAUCAUUUUACACAGUCUAAGGUAUUUUGUUGUAGCCACGGGAACAAAUUAAGAAACACUGAGUUAUUUCAGCAACCUCACAACCGCAGUGUCUACAUGUACGGUCUCCACAUCACCGCCCCUGCGGCCUUUUCCUCCGGUUACCGCAACAUAAACCUCUGCACAUCAAUCAACACCUGAAGUUCUGACGACUCCCCAGAAAGCCCUAGCACACCCGCAG